rnacentral:rRNA from 1 species
UUAUAACAAUAAAUAUUUCUUCAAACUUAAAAGCUAUUCAAAUAAGGUUCAGCUUAUUUGAAAAAGGAUUCAACCUAAUAAACAGGGUAAUGUUUUUAUCUAUGUGACUAAGUGGGCCUAAAAGCAGCCACCUUUAUAAAAGCGUUAAAGCUUUCUCAUAAGUUAAACUAAUUCCUACAACUUUACAAAACCCUUACUUCAUACUGAAUGAUUCUAUAAAAUUAUAGAAAACCUUAUGCUAGAACUAGUAACAAGAAGAAGACCUUCUCCAUAAAUGUAAACAUAAACCGGAAUGAACAAAUCACCGGAACUUACCGCCAAUGAAAAAAUUAUAGCAACUUUUCAAGAAAAAACUAUUUUAUCAAGCGUUAACCUUACACAAGAACAUUUCAGGAAAGAUUUAAAGAAGAGGAAGGAACUCGGCAAACAAUUAACCCCGCCUGUUUACCAAAAACAUCGCCUUGUGAUAAAAUAUACAAGGUCUAGCCUGCCCAGUGAGUUAUUUUAACGGCCGCGGUACCCUGACCGUGCAAAGGUAGCGUAAUCACUUGUUCUUUAAAUAGGGACUAGUAUGAACGGCAUCACGAGGGUUAUUCUGUCUCCCUCUUUUAAUCAGUGAAACUGAUCUCCCCGUGAAGAAGCGAGGAUAUUAUUAUAAGACGAGAAGACCCCAUGGAGCUUCAAACUCAGAAACACCAGCUACUUUUUAAACCAAAUUAAUUGGCUUCCAUGAUUUCUAGUUUUCGGUUGGGGUGACCAUGGAGUACAACACAACCUCCUUGAUGAACGGAACUAUUUUCCUUAUUUAAGAACUACAGUUCUAAAAAUCAACAUAUUGACAAAAAUUGAUCCAAAUUCUUUUGAUCAACGAACCAAGUUACCCUGGGGAUAACAGCGCAAUCCAUUUCAAGAGCUCAUAUCGACAAAUGGGUUUACGACCUCGAUGUUGGAUCAGGGUAUCCCAGUGGUGCAGCCGCUA